ACAAAGCAAGUAAAGCAAGUAAGGAUCAUUCCUGACACCUGAGUUCUGGGGUGUUGUGGAAUGAAAACUGAUAUCCCCAAGACAGUCUGGUGCUGUUUGCAGUUAAAGUGUUGUUUUGGAAGACAUUUUCUUCUCCACCAAUAGAUCUAGACACAAAGGAAGAGUGAACUUUAAGUACCAUUUUGUAAAUUUUCUGUGCUGUAAAGCUGUUACCUCAGGGAGGGUUGAUGUUCACUAACAGAUGGAAGGUCCAUCCAGCAACACCAGCAAGCAGAGAAGCAGACUAACAGUAUAGAGUUCAGGUCACUGUGGAAUCAGAGGCAGUACAGAAAAAAGUUUUGUCUCUGAAUGCAGAAUGUUUAUCAUUUUUAGAAAUGCAAGAGCUGGUUUUCAUUGCUGAUUUUAAAUCAAACACAGAAAACGUUGUCUGUCGCUGUUUUAAAUUGUUUUGAAUAGUAAAGUACCCUGGGACCUUUGCUGCAUGAAAGAUAGUACCUCAAAGUGCUUUAUUGUUGUAAUUUCCAUGGAAAUUAACAUUUACUUGCAUGGUUAUCACACUUUCUGUGUAAUGUAGGGUAUAACCAUCUAAAUCCCUUUGAAAUACAGUUCCUGAGGUAUCAUCAAUCUGACUUAAGAUUUGUUAUACUUUUCUGCCUGAGUUUGCUGAAUACUUUUGCUUUUCCUCAUGGUGUUGAGCUAUACAAGUUAAUGCUGAAAUGAACUUUAAAAUUCAGCAGCCAUUUUCUUCUGCUUGGUUUUAUUUCCCCAUCUUUUCAAUUCACUUUUUGCCUAUCCCUCCUUCUGUGUCCAUUGCAGACAGUUAAUAACUAUAUUCUGUUUGCAGCACCAGUGGAAAAUCACCAAACAUAAAUCCUUGGGGAUUUUCACCCAUGCUCCACACCCAGACUGGCAUUCAUCUCAAGUUGCACAGGGGAGGCUUAGAAUUUAUAUUACAGGGGAAAAAAGGAUUGUCACAUCCUGGAACUGGUUUCCCAGGGAAGUUGCAGAGUCAUCAUCCCUAGAGGGAUUUAAUAGAUAUGCAGCUGUAGCACUCAGAGACAUGGUUUGGUGGUGGGCUUGGGCAACACUCAAUUACUGAACUCAAUCAUCUUAGAGGUUUUUCCCAGCCUAAAUGAUGUGAUUUUAUGAUCCAAGUUUAAGAGUAAGUUCAUUUAUCACCUAAUCUUCAGACAAGGAGACUCCCAUAAAAUUUCUUUAGUCCUUCUUUUCUUCCCUGUGCUGCACCCACAGACACAUGCAACACACCCAGUGUGGACCUAUCCAAACACUGAACGAUAAAAUUGUAAUAAAGCGCCUAUAUAAAGUUAUGUUUUAGACUAGAUGACUUUUAAAAUGAUCAUAGGACAUUAGCUGAUGGAGGUGAAGGAACUGUGAAAAGAAGGCAGACACUGAGUGUGCAACUCAACAAAUAUUUUGCAAGUGCAUGUGAGGGACUGAGCAUUCAGAGAGCACACUAAUUUCUGCUCGAGUAUCUCUUCACUGGGGACAAAGUGGAAAGUAUUUCCAGAGACGAAGAGGAAGGUAAAGAAAGAAGCUGCCCCUGAAGCUCCUUGGAACAGCAAACUGAUGGCGUAAAUUAGCUCAGUAACUUAUACCUGGAACCAGAGCCACUGCUGUAACAAAACCAACCUCCAGUUCCAGUGGGAGCACUUUACUUUCUAUGCCUAGGAUUACAGUCCAAAUGACCUAGUCUUUACAGAAGUCAAGAUGGCUCAAGAGACUGAUGGUAUAUGAGGAUCACAAAAUACAGCUGGAAGCUUCAAGGAAUUAAGCAGCUGAGUUCCUGCUGCUGUGGAGGGAAAGAGAAUGGAGAAGCAAGAAAAUUCAGCUUUAUACAGAGUAAAAGAAGCAGUUGGUAGCAUAACAAAGUUCCAACUUCAUUAACUUAAUGAGAAUACCCAAAAUGAUAAAUGCUUAGUAUUGAAGUCACAGUUGUUUUGGUAUGGCGGGACCUUACAAAUCAUCAAAUUUUGACCCCUUCCCAUAGGCAGGACACCUUCCACUAAUCCAGGUUACUCUAAACCUCAUCCAACCAGGCCUGGGACACUUCCAGGACUGGGACAGCCACAGCUUCUCUGGGAAACCUGUGCCAGGGCCUCACCACCCUCCCAGACAAAAAUUUCUUCCAAUAUAUCCCAUCUGUCCUUGCUCUCUGGCAGUGGCAAGCUAAUAUCCCCUUUUCCUGUCACUCCAGGCCCGUUCCCAAAGUCCCUCUCCAGGUUUCUUGAAGUCUCUUUAGGUACGAGAAGGGGCUCUAAGGUCUCCCUGAAGACUUGUCAAC